rnacentral:rRNA from 1 species
CGAGUGAAGCGGCAACAGCUCAAAUUUGAAAUCUGGCUCUUUCAGAGUCCGAGUUGUAAUUUGCAGAGGGCGCUUUGGCGUUGGCAGCGGUCCAAGUUCUUUGGAACAGGACGUCACAGAGGGUGAGAAUCCCGUACGUGGUCGCUAACCUUCGCCGUGUAAAGCCCCUUCGACGAGUCGAGUUGUUUGGGAAUGCAGCUCUAAAUGGGAGGUAAAUUUCUUCUAAAGCUAAAUACUGGCCAGAGACCGAUAGCGCACAAGUAGAGUGAUCGAAAGAUGAAAAGCACUUUGGAAAGAGAGUCAAAUAGCACGUGAAAUUGUUGAAAGGGAAGCGCUUGCAGCCAGACUUGCCUGUAGUUGCUUAUCCGGACUUUUGUCCGGUGCACUCUUCUGCAGGCAGGCCAGCAUCAGUUUGGGCGGUUGGAUAAAGGUCUCUAUCACGUACCUCCCUUCGGGGUUGGCCUUAUAGGGGAGACGUCAUGCAACCAGCCUGGACUGAGGUCCGCGCAUCUGCUAGGAUGCUGGCGUAAUGGCUGUAAGCGGCCCGUCUUGAAACACGGACCAAGGAGUCUAACAUCUAUGCGAGUGUUUGGGUGUCAAGCCCAGACGCGUAAUGAAAGUGAACGGAGGUGGGAACCUUUUAGGUGCACCAUCGACCGAUCCUGAUGUCUUCGGAUGGAUUUGAGUAAGAGCAUGGCUGUUGGGACCCGAAAGAUGGUGAACUAUGCUUGAAUAGGGUGAAGCCAGAGGAAACUCUGGUGGAGGCUCGCAGCGGUUCUGACGUGCAAAUCGAUCGUCAAAUUUGGGCAUAGGGGCGAAAGACUAAUC